rnacentral:rRNA from 1 species
AAACUCAAAUGAAUUGACGGGGCCGCACAAGCGGUGGAGUAUGUGGUUAAUUCGAUGCAACGCGAAAAACCUUACCCACCUUUGACAUGUACGGAACCCUUUAGAGAUAGAGGGUGCUCGAAAGAGAGCCGUAACACAGGUGCUGCAUGGCUGUCGUCAGCUCGUGUCGUGAGAUGUUGGGUUAAGUCCCGCAACGAGCGCAACCCUUGUCAUUAGUUGCUACAUUCAGUUGGGCACUCUAAUGAGACUGCCGGUGACAAGCCGGAGGAAGUGGGGAUGACGUCAAGUCCUCAUGGCCCUUAUAGGUGGGGCUACACACGUCAUACAAUGGCUGGUACAAAGGGUUGCCAACCCGCGAGGGGGAGCCAAUCCCAUAAAGCCAGUCGUAGUCCGGAUCGUAGUCUGCAACUCGACUACGUGAAGUCGGAAUCGCUAGUAAUCGUGGAUCAGAAUGUCACGGUGAAUACGUUCCCGGGUCUU